UUCCUUCUAGUCAUGACUGUAGAUCCUAAUUCAUUCAGUAAGGACCUGAAAGUGGAAACAAUUGAGAAUGUCCUGUCACAACUAUAGGAAAUGACCUGAACAAUCUAAGGCAACUCUCAUUCUGAUUGGUUCUUACUUAUGCUCUGUUGGAGGACUGAUGCUUAGAUGAUGUCACCAUUUCCAUUAUUUUGCCUUUUUAUCAUAUGGAAUAGGCAAAAGAUUCCAUGUUGCCAUGCAAAACUUGAUUAUAUGGGUGAAGAAAGGAUGAGCUGUGGUCGAAAGAAACAGUUCAGGUGAAGUGAAUGAAAAAUGAAAACCACUCUUAUCUGCUAAGUGGAAAGACCAUAGGAGUGAUCCAAAAGGAGUUUCUUCUUAAAAUAUCAAGCACAAAGAGAUGGGAAGAAAGAAAAGUAUCAAGAUACUUAUGUGGUCUUGAUUGAUGGCUCAUAAUACCAGUCCUCCUUGUACCAAGAGGAAAAUAGGACAUGGAAUACAUCUCCACCUGAAACACCUCUGCAGUAGCGUUACAGCAGGGAUUAGCAGAGAUUGGACCUAAACAGCUCGUCGGCAAUGAGUGGAAGAACGCGCCCUUGGCGGAGAAGACACUCUUUCAUUGAUAGUUCAUUGAAAUACAUAACAAAGAAGAUUCAUCUAAAUGGCUCAUAAAGGAAUAGUUAAGUAGGGAAACCGUCCUUUAGUUGCAGCUUGAUAACAAGCUCCAAAUUUUAACCCAGUCAAGAGGAACAAACAUCAGUAACAACAUGCUGACAGAUGAAGAAUCUAUGGAGACGAGGUUGAAACAAUUGGUCAUGUAGUGAGCACUUGCAAGGGCUUGCGCCAAAAGAUUUCAGGAAACAGCAUGAAAAGGGUUGCUGGACUGGCCAUGAGAAAUAGUGUCUUACAAGGCUUCUUUAUUAACACUGGUUCAGUACCUUCAGGAAUCAGAUAGGGUGUUGCAGUACUAGUGUGCAAAUUUUCGUUGGGAACUUACCACGUAGGGCUGCUUGGGAAGUUAAGUACACUUGACAAGACAAGGCAGAUUGAUGCGUCGUUAAUGAUGUUGUGGUACACGAAGAUAUUAGAAUACAGAGAAUUACUUAAAAUGCUGCUGACCUCAGGAUGGUGAUUGAAAACAUGCAGAGGAAUAAACUGAAGUCAUCCCAUUUGUUACAGGAAUUCUUGGGUAAAUUACUUAUUUUAUCUUGGGUCAUUAUAAAGUGAAGUACAGCGUUGGAAUUCCUCGGAUGUCUGCUCGAAGCUUCAAAUGUCUUGCGGAAGGUUCUGUCUACUGCUACUGUUAAUGCUACAUCUGCUGCAGUCGUUGCAAAUGAUUCAAGAUGAACUCUAUAACUACUAAUAAUAUCGUUCUUAUUGAUUUGUGUCUCAUUAAAACAGAGCGCACAGUUCCUGUUUAAAGGUUAUGGGAGACUAAGAGACUCAUAAUUCAUCAUCAUCAUUAUUAUCAUCAUCAUCAUCAUCAUGUUGUUAUUGUCAUCAUGAUUAUUAUUCAUAAUAAUCAUAAUCUUAAGUUGUCCCGAUUGGGGAAAUCGUUGCUUUCUUUUAUUGAUCAGUUUUUCGAUAUUUCAAUUAGAAUGACGAUAAAAAUAACUGAUUGCAUUCGCGCACGAUGUCCGCGCGAUGAAGCCCUUUCAAUACCACCACAAAUGUCAAACCUAACGUAACUGACCAAUAGGUUUAAUGAACAUCUUAUUCUCAAAAUACAUUGAAAAACGUUAUACGGCUUCAUUCAGUUAAAUUGCAGUCAAUAAAUCGUUGCCGCAAAGAGCCAAAAGGCU